rnacentral:rRNA from 1 species
GAUGAACGCUGGCGGCGUGCCUAAUACAUGCAAGUCGAGCGAACGGACGAGAAGCUUGCUUCUCUGAUGUUAGCGGCGGACGGGUGAGUAACACGUGGAUAACCCACCUAUAAGACUGGGAUAACUUCGGGAAACCGGAGCUAAUACCGGAUAAUAUUUUGAACCGCAUGGUUCAAAAGUGAAAGACGGUCUUGCUGUCACUUAUAGAUGGAUCCGCGAUGCAUUAGCUAGUUGGUAAGGUAACGGCUUACCAAGGCAACGAUGCAUAGCCGACCUGAGAGGGUGAUCGGCCACACUGGAACUGAGACACGGUCCAGACUCCUACGGGAGGCAGCAGUAGGGAAUCUUCCGCAAUGGGCGAAAGCCUGACGGAGCAACGCCGCGUGAGUGAUGAAGGUCUUCGGAUCGUAAAACUCUGUUAUUAGGGAAGAACAUAUGUGUAAGUAACUGUGCACAUCUUGACGGUACCUAAUCAGAAAGCCACGGCUAACUACGUG